AAGGCUUUAGUUAAUAUAAUAAUAAUAGUUUGUCAGGCUAUAGUAAUCUUUAAAGUUAAGCUGAUGCCUCAAU
rnacentral:tRNA from 1 species